UACAGAGGGGGCAAGCGUUGUUCGGAAUUACUGGGCGUAAAGGGCGCGUAGGCGGCCUGUUAAGUCGAACGUGAAAUCCCCGGGCUCAACCCGGGAACUGCGUCCGAUACUGGCAGGCUUGAAUCCGGGAGAGGGAUGUGGAAUUCCAGGUGUAGCGGUGAAAUGCGUAGAUAUCUGGAGGAACACCGGUGGCGAAGGCGGCAUCCUGGACCGGCAUUGACGCUGAGGCGCGAGAGCCAGGGGAGCAAACGGG
rnacentral:rRNA from 1 species